AAACCAUGGUGAGGGCACCUUCUCAAUAGAUCUGUGUAUCUCUCCCAUGCAUCAUAGCGUGUUUCUAGAUCCAUCUGCACAAAAGAAGAGAUGUCAUUCCUCAACUU
rfam:Gossypium arboreum cultivar AKA8401 contig_37343_5, whole genome shotgun sequence.